rnacentral:rRNA from 1 species
UACGGGGGGGGCAAGCGUUGUUCGGAAUUACUGGGCGUAAAGGGCUCGUAGGCGGCCAACUAAGUCAGAUGUGAAAUCCCCAGGCUCAACCUGGGAACUGCAUCUGAUACUGGCAGGCUUGAAUCCGGGAGAGGGAUGUGGAAUUUCAGGUGUAGCGGUGAAAUGCGUAGAUAUCUGGAGGAACACCGGUGGCGAAGGCGGCAUCCUGGACCGGUAUUGACGCUGAGGCGCGAAAGCCAGGGGAGCAAACGGG